rnacentral:rRNA from 1 species
UCUGCCAUCAGGUCUGGGACAACCACUGGAAACGGUGGCUAAUACCGGAUGUGCCCUUCGGGGUGAAAGGUUAACUGCCUGUUGAUGAGCUCGCGUCUGAUUAGCUAGUUGGUGUGGUAAGAGCGCACCAAGGCGACGAUCAGUAGUUGGUCUGAGAGGACGAUCAGCCACACUGGGACUGAGACACGGCCCAGACUCCUACGGGAGGCAGCAGUGGGGAAUUUUCCGCAAUGGGCGAAAGCCUGACGGAGCAAUACCGCGUGAGGGAGGAAGGCUCUUGGGUCGUAAACCUCUUUUCUCAGGGAAGAACACAAUGACGGUACCUGAGGAAUAAGCAUCGGCUAACUCCGUGCCAGCAGCCGCGGUAAUACGGAGGAUGCAAGCGUUAUCCGGAAUGAUUGGGCGUAAAGCGUCCGCAGGUGGCUAUGUAAGUCUGCUGUUAAAGAGUCUAGCUCAACUAGAUAAGAGCAGUGGAAACUACAAGGCUAGAGUGCGUUCGGGGCAGAGGGAAUUCCUGGUGUAGCGGUGAAAUGCGUAGAGAUCAGGAAGAACACCGGUGGCGAAGGCGCUCUGCUAGGCCGCAACUGACACUGAG